CUUAAAAAAUUAAAAAUUCUGCCUAAAUACCACAGUAUAGCUCCACCUUCAGCUUAAAACAUAGAAUUUGACUCAUUUUGAAUAAAUUUUAGCCAAUGGCUAAAGAGUAAGAUACUACGUAAUCCAGUAGAGUACUACGUAGCAGCUCUGUGUCAACGUUAUAAAAGCAUCGGGAGUCUCGGCCACGCCUUGUGGCGAGUUGGGAGUUGGAUUUGCAUGAGAGUGUAGGAGGCUAGCCGUAGUUCAGCAUUAGCAUAUAGCAUUAGCAUAUCCUAGUCUUUAGCAUAGCUUUUAGUGUUAUACAUACUUAUUUAGUGUUAGCUUGGCUGUUGGAUAUUGUAGUUUAGUUACUGUUUGGCUGUUAGUGUAAUUAGGAAAGUAGUUCGGGUUUAGUGCUCCAUAUCGUGUUAGCAUGGUGAGAUGGUGUAGUGUAGUAUGGUUGCGGAGCUCUGUCGGGUUGCACUCCUUUCCGCUGGACUUAGAAAUUAGGCGCCAGUGGUUGCGUGUCUGGAAAAGAUUCAGCUCCCGCCUGGUGCUGUAGUUUGCAACCAGCAUUUUACCCGCGAUUCUGCACGUCUCCGUUCCAAGAGGGAGGCUGUGCCCACCGUGGCUCUUCCGCGAUUUAGAUGCAGCCCACCGACUCUGCUCCCCCACCAUGACGGGCUACAGUCUGAGGCUAAAUCUACCCAAGACACUGGCUGUCAGACUGAUUUAGUAAUCUGCAAGAAUGCACUUGUCCAGGCUGACGUGGUGUUACCCGUAGCAAAGAGCUCACAGCCUCAGUGUCUUGUGACACAGGGACCAUGACAGAAAUUCAUCUUCCAGAAGGUCCCAGAGCAUCCACACCUCCUGAAAAGACCACGGUGUGAGGUGUCUGCUGUUGAUUCCAGCUUCCACCUCAGUGACAGUGCAAGCUCAGUGAACUGUUCAAGGAGGCUACUGAUUCUGGCCCUGUGACACUUGGUGGUCACCACCAGGUGGUGACGUGUGAGCUGAUUCACCUGGACACUCAGCAAAAUAUGGACUCUACACCAUGAGGCAGGCACACGUUAAUAACUCUAUAAGAGCACAUAAGCCUGGCUGAUCACCUGAUAACUCCUGUCAUCUGGUUAUGACAGCAUGAGGAUGUCCUCACACACCUGUAACCUAUCAGCUCAUCUGGCAGAAUAGAGAGAGAAGAGACAACACCACAUCUCCUGUUCCUGGAAAGCCUUCAGCCAUCCUUCGAUGACUGAGAACCUCCAUCAGCUCUGUCUCCUGUCUGCCUACAAUUAUUAUAAUAAAUAUUGUGUUUGACAAGUU